rnacentral:misc_RNA from 1 species
GUUGAAGAACGCAGCGAAAUGCGAUACGUAAUGUGAAUUGCAGAAUUCAGUGAAUCAUCGAAUCUUUGAACGCAUAUUGCGCUCUCUGGUAUUCCGGAGAGCAUGCUUGUUUGAGUAUCAGUAAACACCUCAACUUCCAUAUCUUUUUUGAAAUGGGAGUUGGACUUGAGUGAUCCCAACGCUUUUCCUCACCGAAAAGUGGCGGGUUACUUGAAAUGCAGGUGCAGCUGGACUUUUCUCUGAGCUAUAAGCAUAUCUAUUUAGUCUGCCUAAAAAACAGAUUAUUACCUUUGCUGCAGCUAACAUAAAGGAGAUUAGUUCUUGUGCUGACUGAUGCAGGAUUCACAAAGACAGGCUUCGGCCGACUUUGUAAACUCGAUCUCAAAUCAAGUAAGACUACCCGCUGAACUUAAGCAUAUCAAUAAGCGGAGGA